AGUGAACGCUGGCGGUAGGCCUAACACAUGCAAGUCGAACGAGUGGCGGACGGGUGAGGAAUACAUCGGAAUCUACUCUGUCGUGGGGGAUAACGUUGGGAAACUUACGCUAAUACCGCAUACGAUUGAAUGAGCCGAUGUCGGAUUAGCUGGUUGGCGGGGUAAAGGCCCACCAAGGCGACGAUCCGUAGCUGGUCUGAGAGGAUGAUCAGCCACACUGGAACUGAGACACGGUCCAGACUCCUACGGGAGGCAGCAGUGGGGAAUAUUGGACAAGUGGCUCAAGCCUGAUGCAGCCAUUCCGCGUUGGUGAAGAAGGCCUUCGGGUUUUAAAGCCCUCUUGUUGUGAAAGCGGUACCCACAGAAUAAGCACCAGCUAACUCCGUGCCAGCAGCCGCGGUAAUAC
rnacentral:rRNA from 1 species